rnacentral:lncRNA from 9 species
UUUCCUCCCAUCUGUCCUUACCCUCCUUCCAACUUUUCUUUCCUUCCCACUGCCUCCCAGUACAGCUUCACAUUUGCCUCAUCUCACUAUUUCCAAGAUUUCCAACUUUCACAGUCCCAACCACUCCAAACCCGGGUUUCCGUACACGCCUACUCUCUGAAGUCAAUUCACUCGUGCUUUAGUUCUCAGUCAGAGGCGGUUCCUUUCUACUCUAGCGGAGACUACAAGUCCCAGGAUGCCCCGCUGCCCCGUGGCCUGCUGGGAAAUAAAGAGCCUUUCCUCCGCGGUGGGGGCGCUGUGCAUCUGCUGAGUGACGCCAAGCGCUGGAAGUCAGGGCCUAGCCGAGAGUUUCCUCGGACGCGACCACUGGCCCCGUGUGCAGGGAGGAGCCGGGCGGGCUAUUCUGAGAGGGGCCGCCACCACCCCAAUCUCGUUAGUCUAAAGUUCACCUAGAAGAAUAAAUAGAAGAUAAUGAAAGAAAAAGGAAGGAAGGAAGAAGGAAAGAAAGAAGGAAGAAAGGGUUUCUAACAAGAAGAAUAAUAAGGUAAGACUUGGCCUAUCAGCUAUUAACGUAUAUUAUAAAAAUAAAAAAUUAAAACUGUGGUAUUGACAUCAGAAUAGACAGAUAGAUGAAGGGAACAGAAUAGAGUCAAAAAUGGCUCAAGUACACUGUAAACCAACUAUAAUAGAAAAAAUAAAAAUCAUUUAAAAAAAGGCUUAAGUAUAUACAAAGAUUUAAUGUAAUAUAUUUUAAUGGCACUAUUUCUUAUCAGACAGUUAAUCAUAAACUGAUUUUUAUCAAUAAAUUAUUGGAAAAACUGCAUAGCUGCUUGUAAAUUAAGUUACACUUCUAUCAUACACCAUACCAAAAUACACCAAAAUUAAUUCUAGACUUAACUUUUAAAAAUUAAAGAGGAGUUCUUGUUGUGGCUCAGUGGUAAUGAACCCAACUAGUAUCAAUGAGUGGGUUCAAUCACGGGCCCUCCUCAGUGCGUUAAGGAUAUGGCAUUGCUGUGAGCUGCGGUGUAGGUCGCAGAUACAGCUUGGAUCCUGUGCUGCUGUGGUGCAGGCAAGCAGCUGCAGCUCCAAUUAGACCCCUAGCCUGGGAACUUUCAUAUGCCAUAAGCGAGGCCCUAAAAAUAAAUAAAUAAACAAAUAAAUACAAAAAAAAUUAAUGACAAAUGGAAAAAUCAAAAUCAUAAAAGUGUGAGAAUGUAGGUAAAUAUUUACAUGACAUGAGGCAGAUUCUAAUUAUAACACCAGUAGCAGAAACUAAAAAGAAAAAGAGUGAUUUUACAUUAAAAAAUUUAAACCUUCUAUCCAAAAAAUCACAAUAAAUAAAGGUAAAUUUCUUUCUUUCUUUCUUUCUUUUUUUUUUUUUUUUUUUUGUCUCUUUUUAGCUAUUUCUCGGGCCGCUUCCGCGGCAUAUGGAGGUUCCCAGGCUAGGGGUCGAAUCAGCACUGUAGCCACCAGCCUACACCAGAGCCACAGCAAUGUGGGAUCCAAGCGCAUCUGCAACCUACACCACAGCUCACGGCAACGCUGGAUCGUUAACCCACUGAGCAAGGGCAGGUACCGAACCCGCAACCUCAUGGUUGCUAGUCGGCUUCGUUAAUCACUGCGCCACGACGGAACUCCCAAUAAAGGUAAAUUUCAAAUGAAAAGUUAAGAAAGGAUGUUACUUAUGUAUAAGUAACAUAUAACUAAAAGAUUGUUAGUAUUAAUAUUGACUCUUUUCUUAUAGAAAUAUUGAUAAAGAUAAAACAGCCAAUUUACCAAAAAUAAAUUAAGAAAUUUAAAUGGCCAAUAAAUCUAUGAAAGAUGAUUUAUAUUCAUAGUAGUUAAAUAAGUGCAAUUUAAAAUAGUAAGAUGGUGGGAGUUCCUACUGUGGUGCAGCAGAAACAAAUCCAACUAGUAUCCAUGAGGAUGUGGGUUUGAUCCCUGGAUUCGGCUCAGUUGGUCAGGGAUCUUGCAUUGCAGUGAGCUGUGGUGUAGGUCACAGAUGAGUCUUGGGUCCUACAUUGCUGUGGCUGUGUUGUAGGCUAGCAGCUAUAGCUCCGAUUCCACCCCUAGCCUGGGAACUUCCAUAUGCUGCGGAUGCAGCCCUAAAUAGCAAUAAUAAAAUAAAAACAAAACAGUAAGAUGCUGGAGUUCCCAUUGUGGGUUAAGAAUCUGACUAAUAUCCAUGAGGAUGUAGGUUUGCUCCCUGGCCUCACUCAGUGGGUUAAGGAUCCAGUGGCCCUAAAAAAGACCAAGAAAAAAAAAAAUAAAACAAUAAGAUGCCAUUUUGUGCCAAUUGUGUUGUUAUCAUUUUAAAGUGCAUAAAACCCAUCAGUGAUGAGUAUGCAAGGAAAUAGGUACUUCCUUAUACCUCUGGUAGAACUCUGAAUUGGUACAACUGUAAUGGAAAGCAACUUAUCAUCUUGUAUCUACAGGUUAAAAAAUGCCUACCCUUGGCCCAGCAAUUGUGUUUCUAGGAAUUUUUUGCAGUAGUUGUAUAAGGAGUUACCUAUUGAAAUGUUCAUUACAGCAUUAAUUUUAAAAGUGCAAGCAGCUCUAGGAGUUCCUGUAGUGGCUCAAUGUUAAAGAACUUGACUAGCAUCCAUGAGGAUUUUGGUUCAAUCUCUGGCCUCAGUUAUUGGGUUAAGGAUCUGGCAUUGCCAUGAGCUGUGGUCUAGGUUGCAGCUGCAGCUCAGAUACUGCUGUUGCUGUGGCUGUGGCAUAGGCCAGUGGCUACAGCUUCAAUUUGACCCCUAGCCUGGAAACCUCUAUAUGCCAUGGGAGCAGCCCUAAAAAGACAAAAAAAAAAAAAAGUGCAAGCAGUUCUAGAUGUCUAAUAGUAUGGUAGUUUAUAGUUAAAGUGUAAUAAACCUAGAGAAUGAAAUAUUAUACUGCAUUAUCCUGGCAUAAAAAGAGUAAAAGAUGUCCAUGGUAUAUUUCUAAGUUACAAAAAAAAAAAGAGCAGAUUGCAUCCAAGUGAAAAAAUGACAAAAGGCUGGAAUAGAUAUUUUCUCAAAAAAAUUGCAAGUGGCCAAUAUGCACAUGAAAAUGAUGUUGAGCAUCAUUAGUCAUUAGGGAAAUACAAUUCAAAACUACAAUGAGCUACCUACCACUUUACCACUUCACACCUUCUGGGAUAGCUAUAAAACCAACAGCAAGAAAUAGAAAAUAACAGGUGUUGGCAAGGAUGUGGAGAAGUUGGAAUGCUCAUGUAUUGCUGGUAGGAACAUAAAUGCUGCUGUGGAAAAGAGCUUGGCUGUUCCUCAAUAGGUGAAACAUAGGAUUACCAUGUAAGUCAGAAAUUCCACUCUUAGGUAAAAAAAUUACACAUGAAUGUUCAUAGCCAAAAGAUGGAAACAACUUAAAUGUCCAUCAGGUGAUAAAUGGAUAAACAAAAUGUGGUAUAUAUAUCCAUAUGAUGGAACACUUCUUAUUCCAGUGUGCUAUAACACGGAUGAACCCAGCAAAUAUGCUUAGUGAAAGAAGCCCGACACAAAAGGCCUGUAUUGUAUGAUUAUGUUCAUCUGAAAUAUCCAGAAUAGGUAAAUCCAUAGAAAUAGAAAGCAUAUUCAUAGUUGCCAUGGGCUGGGAGAAGGAGAGAAAUGGGCAUGACUGCUUAAAGAUUAUGAGGUUUCCUUUUGUGAUGCUGAAAGUGUUCUGGAAUUAGAUAGUGGUGAAGAUUACACAGUACUGUGAACGUACUAAAUGCCACUGAAUUGUACACUUUAAAAUAGUUAAAAUGAUGAAAUUUAUGUUAUGUGAAUUUUACUAUAAUAAAAAAGCACAUUACAAAAUAAUAGGUAUAGUUAGUUUUGUUUUUCCAGAUGUAUAUGCAUAGGAAGAAAAGUGAGAAAGAUAAAUAUCAAUCUAUUCUGUUUGUUUAUGGUGUCAUUUAGGACUAAUGUUCUAAUUUUUCUACAAUAAUCCUAGAUUACUUGAGCCCUUUUAAAAACAUGCUCUAGAGUUAAGGAUCCAGCAUUGCCAAGGUGUAGGUCGCAGAUGUGGCUUAGAUCCAGUGUUGCCAUGGCUGUGGUGUAGACCUGUAGCUGCAGCUCCAAUUUGACCCCUAGCCUGAGAACUUCCAUAUGCCACAGGUGCAGCCAUAAAAACAAAACAAAACAAAACAUGCUGUAGAACAAUAUUUAAUGAAAUAGAGGAAUGUUCAUCAUAUAUUCAUAUAUUAUUUAAUCAAACCAGUAUACUUGUUUUUUAAAAACACUCAAUUUUUUAAGAGCAAUUUUAGGUUUACCACAAAACCAAGAGGGAGGUACAGAGGUUUCCCAUAUACUCCCUGCCCAACACAUGCAUAGCUUCCUCCAUUAUUAACAUCAUUCACCAGAAUGGUACUUUUUUUUAAUGGUGACAGAUGUUAACUAGAUUUGUUGUGAUCAUUUAGCAAUAUAUACAAAUAUUGAAUCAUUAGGCUGUACAGCUGUAACUAAUAUAUUGUUAUGUCAG